UACAGAGGAUGCAAGCGUUAUCCGGAAUGAUUGGGCGUAAAGCGUCUGUAGGUGGCUUUUAAGUCCGCCGUCAAAUCCCAGGGCUCAACUCUGGACAGGCGGUGGAAACUACCAAGCUGGAGUACGGUAGGGGCAGAGGGAAUUUCCGGUGGAGCGGUGAAAUGCGUAGAGAUCGGAAAGACACCAACGGCGAAAGCACUCUGCUGGCCGACACUGACACUGAGAGACGAAAGCUAGGGAGCGAAUGGG
rnacentral:rRNA from 1 species